AAUCAACGCUGGCGGCGCGCUUAACACAUGCAAGUCGCACGAGAAAGCCGGGGCAACCUGGUGAGUAAAGUGGCGUACGGGUGAGUAACACGUGGGUAAUCUACCCCUUAGUGGGGAAUAACCCUGGGAAACCGGGGCUAAUACCGCAUAAUCCUGGAAAGGGAAAGCGUCGUCCUCAAAAAACGACGCGCUGAGAGAGGAGCCCGCGGCCGAUUAGCUGGUUGGUGAGGUAACGGCUCACCAAGGCGACGAUCGGUAGCCGGCCUGAGAGGGCACACGGCCACACUGGCACUGAAACACGGGCCAGACUCCUACGGGAGGCAGCAGUGGGGAAUCUUGCACAAUGGGGGAAACCCUGAUGCAGCGACGCCGCGUGAGCGAUGAAGCCCUUCGGGGUGUAAAGCUCUUUCGGCAGGAACGAUAAUGACGGUACCUGAAGAAGAAGCUGCGGCUAACUACGUGCCAGCAGCCGCGGUAAUACGUAGGCAGCGAGCGUUGUUCGGAGUUACUGGGCGUAAAGAGUGCGUAGGCGGCUCCCCAAGUUUGGUGUGAAAUCUCCCGGCUUAACCGGGAGGGUGCGCCGAAAACUGGAG
rnacentral:rRNA from 1 species